UUUCCUAAAGCAGUACUCUUUCCAGAAGCUGGGAUAACGCAAGGAGUGUUUAAAUCUGUGAUUACAUUAAAGGCUACAAGUUACAGCACUAUAGCAGGGCACACCAGCUCAGAGCAAUUUUAUUAUCAAGUCAUUUAGUCAUGUGUGUAACAGGUCUGGACUGCACCACUGUUGAAACAUGAACAGCCAAUCUGUUCUUGUUCUAGUAGUUCUUCUAUUGGAAAACCAACAACUCUUAGAAUAAAACAAUCUGUGCAGCAGGAAGACUGCACCAAGCUGCAGGCUGCUAGGACUGCCUGUGCACAUCCUCCUGAUAUCCCAUCCAAGUGGGACAUCUGCCCUGUUUUCCUUCUGAUGCACAGAAACAGACCCUGUUGGACAGCAAAGGAAGUACAACAGCAGAGUUGGUAACACAUUGACCUCUUACUAGGAAAUUCCUCACUUCAUGCUCAUAAUACAGAUUUUUGAUGUUGA